rnacentral:rRNA from 1 species
GCCCGCUCAUCAGAGUUUGAUCCUGGCUCAGGACGAACGCUGGCGGCGUGCCUAAUACAUGCAAGUCGAGCGCGAGAAGCACCUUCGGGUGUGGAUCGAGCGGCGAACGGGUGAGUAACACGUGGGCAACCUGCCUAUCAGCCUGGGAUAACUCCGGGAAACCGGAGCUAAUACCGGAUAGACCUCUUCCUCGCAUGAGGAAGAGGAGAAAGAUGGCUUCGGCUAUCACUGGUAGAUGGGCCCGCGUCGCAUUAGCUAGUUGGUGGGGUAACGGCCUACCAAGGCGACGAUGCGUAGCCGACCUGAGAGGGUGAUCGGCCACACUGGGACUGAGACACGGCCCAG